UCUGAGCUGACGAGUGUGUGUCGAGCAGAAGAUGAAGAGCUUUCUGAUGCUGAUGUUUCUGUGCUAUAUGGUAAAACUCACCACCUCUGACAGUGUGAGUGUGAGGUUGGUGAAUGGCAAUAAUCCCUGUGCUGGAAGAGUGGAGGUUCUUCAGAGAGGUCAGUGGGGAACAGUGUGUCAUAAUUGGUGGGAUAUUGCUGAUGCUGCAGUGGUGUGUAGAGAGCUGGACUGUGGGACGGCUGUAAAAGCAACAUAUGAAGCUGAUUUUGGACGUGGAUCAGGACCAA